CUUCACAUGGGGAGUAAGGUUGCAAGAUUAAUCUCGAGGAAUUGACGGGGGACCGCACAAACGGUGGAGCAUGUGGUUUAAUUCAAAGCAACGCGCAGAACCUUACCAGCUCUUGACAUUCGGGGUAUGGGCGGUGGAGACAUUGUCCUUCAGUUCGGCUGGCCCCAGAACAGAUGAUGCAUGGCUGUCGUCAGCUCGUGUCAUGAGAUGUUGGGUUAAGUCCCGCAACGAGCGCAACCCUCGCCCUUAGUUGCCAGCAUUCAGUUGGGCACUCUAAGGGGACUGCCGGUGAUAAGCCGAGAGGAAGGUGGGGAUGACGUCAAGUCCUCAUGGCCCUUACGGGCUGGGCUACACACGUGCUACAAUGGUGGUGACAGUGGGCAGCGAGACCGCGAGGUCGAGCUAAUCUCCAAAAGCCAUCUCAGUUCGGAUUGCACUCUGCAACUCGAGUGCAUGAAGUUGGAAUCGCUAGUAAUCGCAGAUCAGCAUGCUGCGGUGAAUACGUACCCGGGCCUUGUACACACCGCCCGUCACACCAUGGGAGUUGGUUUUACCCGAAGGUAGUGCGCUAACCGCAAGGAGGCAGCUAACCACGGUAGGGUCAGCGACUGGGGUGAAGUCGUAACAAGGUAACC
rnacentral:rRNA from 1 species